rnacentral:rRNA from 1 species
GACGAACGCUGGCGGCGUGCUUAACACAUGCAAGUCGAACGGAAAGGCCCUGCUUUUGUGGGGUGCUCGAGUGGCGAACGGGUGAGUAACACGUGAGUAACCUGCCCUUGACUUUGGGAUAACUUCAGGAAACUGGGGCUAAUACCGGAUAGGAGCUCCUGCUGCAUGGUGGGGGUUGGAAAGUUUCGGCGGUUGGGGAUGGACUCGCGGCUUAUCAGCUUGUUGGUGGGGUAGUGGCUUACCAAGGCUUUGACGGGUAGCCGGCCUGAGAGGGUGACCGGCAACAUUGGGACUGAGAUACGGCCCAGACUCCUACGGGAGGCAGCAGUGGGGAAUAUUGCACAAUGGGCGGAAGCCUGAUGCAGCAACGCCGCGUGCGGGAUGACGGCCUUCGGGUUGUAAACCGCUUUCGCCUGUGACGAAGCGGGAGUGACGGUAAUGGGUAAAGAAGCACCGGCUAACUACGUG